UUAUCAGGUUUAUCACGUUUAUCACGUUUAUCACGUUUAUCAGGUUCAUCACGUUUAUCACGUUUAUCAGGUUUAUCACGUUUAUCAGGUUCGUCACGUUUAUCAGGUUUAUCACGUUUAUCAGGUUCAUCACGUUCAUCACGUUUAUCACGUUUAUCAGGUUUAUCACGUUUAUCACUGAGUAAAUACGUCAUCGCGACACAGAAAGACAGCGUGUAUUGUUUUGGCACAAUGAGAUGACUGAAGAACUGAAAAUGAGUGUGUCUGAGGGAACAUGGAUCACAGCGGUUACUGCGGUUACUGCGGUUACUGCAUCUCUGUGGAAAAUGACCAAAUGUUUCGGAGAAAUAUAACAGGAAUGCUUAUGUACAGGAAAAUAAUGGCUCUCUAUUGUAAAUUAAUUAAAGAUUUAUUGUAAACAAAUCAAAGACGGUCUGUUGUAAACACAUUAAGGCGGUCUGUUGUAAAUAAAUUAAAGGCGGUCUGUUGUAAAUAAAUUAAAGGCGGUCUGUUGUAAAUAAAUUAAAGGUGGUCUGUUGUAAACACAUUAAAGGCGGUCUGUUGUAAAUAAAUUAAAGGCGGUCUGUUGUAAACACAUUAAAGGCGGUCUGUUGUAAAUAAAUUAAAGGCGGUCUGUUGUAAAUAAAUUAAAGGCGGUCUGUUGUAAAUAAAUUAAAGGCGGUCUGUUGUAAAUAAAUUAAAGGUGGUCUGUUGUAAGCACAUUAAAGGCGGUCUUGUAAAUAAAUUAGGGAUGGUCUAAGAGAAAUGUACGGUGGUCUAGGGAAAAUAAAAUGUAGUCUUUUAUUCCUAGUGUAGUGCUCUCCAGGAGUUCAGUGUGUAGGUGGAGUGUCUAAUCAUUUUUAGAUCAACACAACAUCUGCAGGGCUGCUGAGUCUGUGAACACACACACACACACACACACACACACA
ensembl:lncRNA